AAGCUCGUAGUUGAAUUUCGGGGUUAGUAGGUUGGUCAUGCCUCUGGUAUGUACUGGUCUCACUGAUUCCUCCUUCCUUAUGAACCGUAAUGCCAUUAAUUUGGUGUUGCGGGGAAUUUGGACUGUUACUUUGAAAAAAUUGAGUGUUUAAAAGCAAGCUAACGCUUGAAUACAUUAGCAUGGAAUAAUGAAAUAGGACGUUCGACCUUAUUUUGCUGGUUUCUAGGAUUGACGUAAUGAUUAAUAGGGAUAGUUGGG
rnacentral:rRNA from 1 species